rnacentral:rRNA from 1 species
UACGAAGGGGGCUAGCGUUGCUCGGAAUGACUGGGCGUAAAGGGCGCGUAGGCGGAUGGCUUUGUCGGGCGUGAAAUUCCAGGGCUUAACCUUGGGGCUGCGUUCGAGACGGGUUGUCUUGAGUGGGGAAGAGGGUCGUGGAAUUCCCAGUGUAGAGGUGAAAUUCGUAGAUAUUGGGAAGAACACCGGUGGCGAAGGCGGCUCACUGGCUCGUAACUGACGCUCAUGCACGACAGCGUGGGAUCAAACAGG